GGCACCGUGGCGGAGUGGUGACGCAGCGGAUUGCAAAUCCGUGUACCCCGGUUCGAUUCCGGGCGGUGCCU
rnacentral:tRNA from 2 species